GGGUUUCGGUCUUCCUCUUCAAUUUUUGUUCAUCGUCCUGAAGGGUUUCAUUCCUUGGAAAUCAUUGCUUCCUUUUCUGUUUUCUGCAUCGUUCAGUAGCCGUCUGCUCUGAUAUUUGGAAAAUUUGAGGUAUUUAUUCAUAUAUUUCCAUAGAUUGUUUUAUUAAAAAAAACACCUCCAAAUGUUUAAAUUUCGUAUUUGGUUAUAUGUUUGCUUUUAUAGUUUACUUAUGAUUUUCGAGUUUUCAAAUGGGUUUUGAUUAAUAUUUUUGUUUUUAAACAUGUGGUAUCGGUUUUACAUGACCAAUUUUUGCGUUA